rnacentral:rRNA from 1 species
UGGGGAAUAUUGCACAAUGGAGGGAACUCUGAUGCAGCGACGCCGCGUGAGUGAUGAAGGCCUUCGGGUCGUAAAACUCUGUCCUAAGGGACGAUAAUGACGGUACCUUAGGAGGAAGCCCCGGCUAACUACGUGCCGAGCAGGCCGCAGGUAAUACGGUAGGGGCGAGUCGUUGUCCGGAAUUAUUUGGGCGUAAAAGGGUGCGUAGGCGGCCUUUUAAGUCAGAUGUGAAAGGUCACGGCUCAACCGUGGUAAGCAUUUGAAACUGGAAGGCUUGAGUUAAGGAGAGGAAAGUGGAAUUCCUAGUGUAGCGGUGAAAUGCGUAGAUAUUAGGAGGAAUACCAGUGGCGAAGGCGACUUUCGGGCCUUAAACUGACGCUGAGGCACGAAAGCGUGGGGAGCAAACAGGAUUAGAUACCCUGGUAGUCCACGCCGUAAACGAUGAGUGCUAGGUGUUGGGGGUUAACCCUCAGUGCCGCAGCUAACGCAUUAAGCACUCCGCCUGGGGAGUACGUGCGCAAGCAUGAAACUUAAAGGAAUUGACGGAGUACGUACUG